UGACUUUCAACGAGAAGAUGUGUUUGCUCGUAAACAUUGGAAGCAAGUACAGUAUCUUACGGAUACCUUUUGGAAACGCUGGCAAAAAGAGUAUCUUUCUACGCUACAAGAACGUGCAAAGUGGCUAAAGCCAAAACGUAAUUUAUCAGUGAACGAUAUAGUUUUAGUAGUUGAUGACAAUGCUCCCAGAAAUCAAUGGUGUAUGGGACGAAUAAUUGAAACAUUUAGUGACGCAAACGGAUUAGUACGUAGUGGUGUUGUUAAAACUCAGACAUCAGUUAUUCACAGAUCGACCUGUUACCAAAUUGAUAUGUUUAAUGCCGUAAAUUUAGUUUGUCCAUUUUAAUUUGUAUGUAAAAUGAUAUGUUAUGGGUUUUUCACUUCUACCGUAAUCUUUUAUAGUAAACAAUAAAUUGUUCAGGGGCCGGUAUGUUACGGCAGAAGUCCUUAUUUGCGUCAAUAUUUGAUCGGUGUCCAUAAAUUAGACGAUGCAGAAUCCUAGUGCAUAAUUUGUACUAUACGUAACCAUGUAACCGCAAAAAUGGCUGCCGUUUGGGCAGUAAAAAACGAAAACGCAACGAUGAAUAACGUCCCUAAGUCCCCUCACAAGUUUGAAACCGCAUGUUCGUUUGUUGAUUGAACCGCAAGUUCGUUUGUUGAAUUGCUCUACUUAUGUUCACUUCGCUCAGUUUAUAAUGGGCAUUGAAUUGUUUAAGCCUUCUACAAAAUGUGUUAGUAACGAAUAAUGUUGGACAUGUAUUUCAACGCAACGUAAUGAUGUAACGUCCAUUCCUGUAUUUAACGCAAUGUUCAUUCCCGUAUGUAUUUAACGCAACGUACCGAUGUAAUAAACGUAAAGUAAUAAACCUAUUCACAAACUGAA